rnacentral:rRNA from 1 species
UACCAGCACCCCGAGUGGUCGGGACGUUUAUUGGGCCUAAAGCAUCCGUAGCCGGUUCUACAAGUCUUCCGUUAAAUCCAGCUGCUUAACAGAUGGGCUGCGGAAGAUACUAUGGAGCUAGGAGGCGGGAGAGGCAAGCGGUACUCGAUGGGUAGGGGUAAAAUCCGUUGAUCCAUUGAAGACCACCAGUGGCGAAGGCGGCUUGCCAGAACGCGCUCGACGGUGAGGGAUGAAAGCUGGGGAGCAAACCAGGG